rnacentral:rRNA from 1 species
GCUCAGGACGAACGCUGGCGGCGUGCCUAAUACAUGCAAGUCGAGCGGACAGAUGGGAGCUUGCUCCCUGAUGUUAGCGGCGGACGGGUGAGUAACACGUGGGUAACCUGCCUGUAAGACUGGGAUAACUCCGGGAAACCGGGGCUAAUACCGGAUGGUUGUUUGAACCGCAUGGUUCAAACAUAAAAGGUGGCUUCGGCUACCACUUACAGAUGGACCCGCGGCGCAUUAGCUAGUUGGUGAGGUAACGGCUCACCAAGGCAACGAUGCGUAGCCGACCUGAGAGGGUGAUCGGCCACACUGGGACUGAGACACGGCCCAGACUCCUACGGGAGGCAGCAGUAGGGAAUCUUCCGCAAUGGACGAAAGUCUGACGGAGCAACGCCGCGUGAGUGAUGAAGGUUUUCGGAUCGUAAAGCUCUGUUGUUAGGGAAGAACAAGUACCGUUCGAAUAGGGCGGUACCUUGACGGUACCUAACCAGAAAGCCACGGCUAACUACGUGCCAGCAGCCGCGGUAAUACGUAGGUGGCAAGCGUUGUCCGGAAUUAUUGGGCGUAAAGGGCUCGCAGGCGGUUUCUUAAGUCUGAUGUGAAAGCCCCCGGCUCAACCGGGGAGGGUCAUUGGAAACUGGGGAACUUGAGUGCAGAAGAGGAGAGUGGAAUUCCACGUGUAGCGGUGAAAUGCGUAGAGAUGUGGAGGAACACCAGUGGCGAAGGCGACUCUCUGGUCUGUAACUGACGCUGAGGAGCGAAAGCGUGGGGAGCGAACAGGAUUAGAUACCCUGGUAGUCCACGCCGUAAACGAUGAGUGCUAAGUGUUAGGGGGUUUCCGCCCCUUAGUGCUGCAGCUAACGCAUUAAGCACCUCCCGG